rnacentral:rRNA from 1 species
CGGACGUGAGCAAUCUGCCUUUAAGAGGGGGAUAACAGUCGGAAACGGCUGCUAAUACCGCAUAAAGCAUUGAAACCGCAUGAUUUUGAUGCCAAAGGAGCAAUCCGCUUUUAGAUGAGCUCGCGUCUGAUUAGCUAGUUGGCGGGGUAACGGCCCACCAAGGCGACGAUCAGUAGCCGGACUGAGAGGUUGAACGGCCACAUUGGGACUGAGACACGGCCCAG